rnacentral:rRNA from 1 species
GACAGAGGUGCCGAGCGUUAGGCGGAAUCACUGGGCUUAAAGCGUGUGUAGGCGGAUCCGUAAGUACCUUGUGAAAUCCCACGGCUUAACCGUGGAACUGCUGGGUAUACUGCGGGUCUUGAGCCACCUAGGGGCAACCGGAACAAACGGUGGAGCGGUGAAAUGCGUAGAUAUCGUGUGGAACGCCAAUGGUGAAAACAGGUUGCUGGGGGUGUGCUGACGCUGAGACACGAAAGCCAGGGGAGCGAACGGG